GUGUCAGCCGCCGCGGUAAUACGUAGGGGGCAAGCGUUGUCCGGAUUUAUUGGGCGUAAAGAGCGUGUAGGCGGUUUGGUAGGUCCGCUGUGAAAACUCGAGGCUCAACCUCGAGACGCCGGUGGAAACCAUCAGGCUAGAGUCCGGAAGAGGAGAAUGGAAUUCCUGGUGGAGUGGUGAAAUGCGUAGAGAUCAGGAAGAACACCCGUGGCGAAGGCGGCCCACUGGGCCGGUACUGAAGCUGAGACGCGAAAGCGUGGGGAGCGAACAGGAUUAGAUACCUCCGUAGUCC
rnacentral:rRNA from 1 species